UACGGAGGGUGCAAGCGUUACUCGGAAUUACUGGGCGUAAAGCGCACGUAGGCGGCUUGGUAUGUCGGGUGUGAAAUCCCCGGGCUCAACCUGGGAACUGCAUCCGAAACUGCCUUGCUCGAGUAUGGGAGAGGGAAGUGGAAUUUCCGGUGUAGCGGUGAAAUGCGUAGAUAUCGGAAGGAACAUCAGUGGCGAAGGCGACUUCCUGGACCAAUACUGACGCUCAGGUGCGAAAGCGUGGGGAGCAAACAGG
rnacentral:rRNA from 1 species